UGGAAAACACAAUUAUAAUCUCUGUUAUACUCAAACUCUUUCUCAAAGUCUUUUCAUUAGGUUUUAUUACUCUCUUUCUAUCUACCUCUAUCUUUUUGCUAUUUCUCUCUCAAACCUCUCUUCCCUUUUCUCUGACUUUUUUUCUUUUUCAAUACUCUUCUGUUUUCAAUCUUCUUCCUCACAACUAGGGACAUCAUCUUCUUCAUCACUUCAUUCAUCAUCAAUGGAUUGCUAUUCAUUACGCUUUAUCAAGGAUUUAUCUUCUUAUUCAUCUUUCAGAUCUGAAACGGCUUCUGACGAGACCAUCAAAUCUGAAAUUAAAACCACAAAAAUCAUCAGAUUUGAAAUCAAAACCAAUGGAUCUGCAUUGUUCUACAUCAAUGAGGCAUGACAUAUCUAUUUCCUCAAUGAGUUUUUCUCUUAACUACUUUUUCACUAUUUAUUUGCACAAGAAUUAAGGAGAGAGACUGUAUUUACCCUUCAAUUGAGUCUUUCCAAUGCACCAUGUCCAAUGGAACCAUUAAUGCAGCAACCUACUCAUUAUUUUUCUGAAUAGCCACAUAUGGAAACUUGUCAAUAAUGUGACAUUACUGAAUUUUUAUUUUUAUUUUAUUUGAAAAAUAUGGAAUAUUAAUCAUUUAUUUUUGUUUACAAAAUAUAAUACUAUUAUUAAUAGACCUAUCUUAGUAAUAUUUAGAGUUUGAUGUGAUAUCUCUCAUUUUUUUUAAGAA